rnacentral:rRNA from 1 species
GACGAACGCUGGCGGCGCGCUUAACACAUGCAAGUCGAACGGCAAGGCCUUCUUUCCCUUGUGGUUUGCGGGUACUCUAGUGGCGAACGGGUGAGUAACACGUGAUUUAUCUUCCCCCAACUUGGGUCUAAGCCUGGGAAACUGUGUCUAAUUCCCGAUAGUACUGCAGGGUGGUGCCUGUCUUGGAAACCUAUUUUCUAGUGUUUGGGGAUGUGCUCGCGGCCUAUCAGCUUGUUGGUGGGGUAAUGGCCUACGAAGGCGGCGACGGGUAGCCGGCCUGGGAGGGUGGAAGGCGAAAUUGGGACGGGGACAAGGCCCAGAAGGGAAGGGGAGGCAGGAGAGGGGAAUAAUGGAGAAUGAGCGGAAGCCAGAUGGAGCGACGCCGCGUGGGGGAUGACGGCGUUCGGGUUGUAAACUCCUGGCGAACGAGAGGAGGAGACUUGGUUGGAAGGGUGGUGAUGGUAGUGGUAGAAGAAGCACCGGCUAACUACGUG